GCGUGGGUCGGCCCGCUGCACCGAGGAAUCAGUGGGCUGGGGGACACCGCCGUCUCAUUCCCCGCGGGCGGCGGUCCGGGCCGGGAGGUGCGUCGCGCGCCUCCCGGCCCCGCA
rnacentral:ncRNA from 1 species